rnacentral:misc_RNA from 1 species
AAACUGCGUUAAGCGGUGUGAAUUGCAGGACACGCCGAGCACUUGAUUUUCGAACGCAUAUUGCGGCCUCGAGUCUUUCUCGGGGCUUCGUCUGUCUGAGGGUCGGUAAAAGAAACUUAUGCUAAGAGCUGACACUCGAGGAGAGCCUUCACUGCGCACUCUUCGUUCAGCUGCAAAGUCUGCACAAUGUGACACGCGGAUUGCGAAUGCAACGCUACGCAGUUGCGCUAAUUCGCUCAAUCAGCAGCAAGUCACUGGUGCUUGUUUCUGGUGCUGCUAGUCAGUACCAACCAACAAUCUUUCCAACUUCGACCUCAGAUCAGGCGAGAUUACCCGCUGAAUUUAA